rnacentral:sRNA from 1 species
CUCUGAGUUAGCCUGUUCAUAAGCCCCAGAGGCGAUCUACAGCACAUUCCCUUUGAGACUCUGGCCUAAGGGUUGGAGGAUCAUUGUGCCUGGAGGAUAGGGCGUGGGAGGGGCUGGCAGAUUACAAACAGGCUGUGGGAUGACCUAGAAGAGCCUGGAAUGAUUUGUACAGUGAGGAUGGUGAUGUAGACAGAUGCAGUCUGAGGCUGGCAUCUUAAAUGCUUCAGGGAUAAGGUGGACACGGCACCCCAGGCAUGAACAAUCCAUCGCCAACAGUAGGGAAAGCCCCAGAAUCCAGGCAAUGGAUAUGAUCACAGAGUCAGUGAGGUUCAUAACUGUAAGGGACAAGUGGGAGACUCCUAGGAAGCACCAUUUUCAAGGUCCUCAUGGGUACAUCUGUACCUCAGACUAUGAGAAUCACAACUCUGCACCUAGUUGGGGGUGGAACGAACAUGUGUUAUAAGCUUUUGGAAUCCCCCAGUCCCAGCUGGUGAGCUCACCUCCCACAUCUGCCGGCUUCAUCUUCAGAUUCCACGUGGCUGGCUCAGAGCAAUAUGGGCUCCUCUCCUCCCAGACUCCAGAUCCGUAGAAAAAGGCACCAAUCGUUUUUCCAGUCAACUUGGGGCUCCUUCUGUUGGACAGCCCUACUCCCGUGUUAUCUGCAAGCCAAUCGAUUGGGGCUCCUUCUGAUUGGACAGCCCUACUCCCGUGUUACCUGUAAGCCAAUCGAUUGGGACUCCUUCUGAUUGGACAGCCCUACUCCCCUGUUAUCUGCAAGCCAAUCGAUUCAGCAUUCGAUGAAGAUAUUUGCAUGCAGCUUCAUCUGGAAGGGUAGGGUUGGAUGGACACAAUUCUCAGAUGAAACCUGCAACUGUUUUAAGGAAAGGAGAAAGGGGAAGCUAACAGAGCCUCUGUGGCUUCCACUACGGGGUGUGGUGGUUUGAAUGAGAAAGUCUCCCAUAGGCUCAAAUAAUUGAAUGUUUGGUCUCCAGUUAGUGGAACUGUUUUGGAAGGAUUAGGAGGUGUAGUAGUUUGCUGCGUCUCUGGAGCUGGGCUUAGAGGUUUCAAAAGACCAGGCCCACCCGGUUUCUUUCUCUCUCUCUGCAACUUAUGGAUCAAUGUGAGCUCUCAGCUACUGCUCCAGUGCAUGCCAGCCUGGCUGCCACCGUGCUCCCCACCAUGAUGACAAUGGGCUAACCCUCUAAAACUGUAAACAAACCCCUGAUUGAAUGCUUUCUUUUAGAAGUAGCUUUGGUCAUGGUGUCUCCUUUCAGCAAUUAAACAGUAACUAAGACACUGGGUGGUUUGGAAAAGUAUGAAAAGUGGAGUUUACUUUAAAAAAAGGCAACUUGACUGAACAAGCCAGUAAUCUCAGCUCCUUGGGAGGCUGAGGCAGGAGACUUGUAAGUUCAAGGCUUGCCUGGCUUAUGGAAGAAGUUUGACUCAAGCCUUGGCAAAUUAGGGAAGUCCUAUCUUAAACAAACAAACAAACAACAAACAAACAAACAACCAAACACCAUCCAUGAGACCUGCAUAAGAACCUGCAUAAGAUCAGUCCAGACAAAGUCCAGGCAUAAGUAGGGGAGAGAGUCACAAAGUCCUUCCCCUGGCUGAAGAACUAUUGGCAAUCUGUGGGUACUGGGCAUAGAGACUCAGAUUUCUUCAGGGAUUGGCCCCUGAAAGGCUAUCUGUGCUAUGGUAGAUGGUAAUACCUCUAUGUACACAUUAAGUGGAUACUGUGUGUCACACACACACACACACACACACACACACACACACACACACACGCCAGGUGUGGCAGUGUGUGACUUUAUCCCAACACUGUAGGUAGAGGCAGGCAGAUUUCUGUGAGUUGUAGGCCAGC